rnacentral:rRNA from 1 species
GAUGAACGCUAGCGGCAGGCGUAAUACAUGCAAGUCGAGGGGCAGCGGGAGUAGCAAUACUUGCGGGCGACCGGCGCACGGGUGCGUAACACGUAUGUAAUCUGCCGAACAAAGGAGGAUAGCCCGGAGAAAAUCGGAUUAAUGCUUCAUAAUAAAUUGAGGGGCUUCACGUGAGUUGGAAAGUUCCUAGGGUGACGGGUGAACAUGCGACUGAUGAGUUAGUUGGUGAGGUAACGGCUGACCAAGACCACGAUCAGUAGGGGUACUGAGAGGUUAAACCCCCACACUGGUACUGAGACACGGACCAGACUCCUACGGGAGGCAGCAGUAAGGAAUAUUGGACAAUGGCCGCAAGGCUGAUCCAGCCAUGCCGCGUGCAGGAAGACGGACCUAUGGUUUGUAAACUGCUUUUGCACUAGAGCAAACCCCUUUACGUGUAAAGGGCUGACAGUAUAGUUAGAAUAAGCAUCGGCUAACUUCGUGCCAGCAGCCGCAGUAACAC